AUACGUAGGGGGCGAGCGUUGUCCGGAAUUACUGGGCGUAAAGAGCGUGUAGGCGGGUACUUAAGUCAGGUGUGAAAGACCGGGGCUCAACUCCGGGGUUGCACUUGAAACUGGGUAUCUUGAGGGCAGGAGAGGAAAGCGGAAUUCCUGGUGUAGCGGUGAAAUGCGUAGAUAUCAGGAGGAACACCGGUGGCGAAGGCGGCUUUCUGGACUGACCCUGACGCUGAGACGCGAAAGCGUGGGGAGCGAACAGGAUUAGAUACCCUGGUAGUCCACGCUGUAAACGAUGGGCACUAGGUGUAGGAGGUAUCGACCCCUUCUGUGCCGCAGCUAACGCAAUAAGUGCCCCGCCUGGGGAGUACGGUCGCAAGGCUGAA
rnacentral:rRNA from 1 species